CGGGGGGGGGGGGGGGGCGAUCACAGGGAACAGCAGGUGAGCGGGCCUCCACCUAGUGCCAGAUCAGCAGCCCCCCCCACGCUCCAGGCCUCCCCAUCCCCCGUGGCCCUGGAGGCCUGCUGGGUCCUGGAAGGUGGGGGGGGGUGCACCCCAGGCUACAACAGGGCCGCCUUUGACUGGUGGCCUUUGGCAGCCUCGGCAUCCUCUUCCGUGUGGUGGGGGAAGGAAAGGAGACACAGUUUUGAAAGAACUGUACCCAGAAAGACACGUGAGUCAGUGACCUCUGACCCCGCUGCACCCCUGACAGUGGCCUCCCCCAGCACUCCGGGCUCCAGGGGUGUCUCUGCCCAGCCAGGCCUGCUGGACAGUGUGUGGAGGACUUGAGCUCUGCAGCAUACGGGACCCAGGGCCCCAAGGAUGGGCUGUGGCCGAGUCCAGACGACAGUGUACCUGGUGGCAGGAGCCAGCCAUGCCGCUGGCCACCCCCCUCCCCACCCCUGCGUCUACCAUGCUCCUUAUCACCUUCCCCUUCCCCAGCCCAGCUGGGGCCCUACACAGUCCCAGGGGCCACAGUGCAGGAGCUCUACCUCUCCCUGCUCCAGGCACACCGCAAGGGGGCGGUCCACAGCCCCACUGCCACCAGGAUCCCUCCCUGCAGCCCCAGCAGGUCAUUCCAUCCCCCUCGGCAGGCGCACUGCAGCCAGCCCACACACGCAAGAAGAGACAGAGGAGCUUGCCCGCUCUCCCCAGGAAGUGAGGACGCUGCUCUGAGCCAGCCACAGAGCUUCACGGAGAACCCCACCAGGCGCUGAUCUCGGACCUCCGCCCCCAGAACCGUGGACAUCCUCCCGCCUGCGGAGUGGCCAUACAGCCGCCCAGACCGUCACCUUCAGCACCCCACAGCCGUGGAAGCAGGGAUUCCCGCUCACUUUCAUGGUCUUGGCACAAGUUGAACGAGCGAAGCUUGGCGGGCCUCAGAGAAGAGCCCCCAGACACCGGCACUGCUCACCUCUCUCUGCAUCCUUGAACUUGAUGGUUCUGCGCCGGGGCGGCCGGGGGCUGGCGGCCACUUCAGCCAGGAGCCCGGAGCCGCAGAAGCCCAGGCUGCUGCCCCGGUUCCGGAGCACCAGCUUCAACUCCUGGUUCUCCUGGAUGAGCUGUACCAGCCGCCGCAGCUCUUCGUUCUCCUGUGCGAGCCGCUGGAUCUCCUGCCGCAGGCCCUCGUAGCUGCUGAGGAGGGACAUGCCCGGCAGCAGGGCGGCAGCUGCCAGCAGCUGGUGGGCUGGCCAGGGACAGCGGGCCCCGUCAUUGUGAGGUCAGCGCCUGCCCUGCCCCGCGCCUCACCUGCAUUCCGCACUCAGAGCCACAGCCCAGCAGUUCCCACCGCCUGGAGCACGGCACACCUGACCUCUGACCUCUGGCCCCUGAGGGCCAAAUGACCGAGGACACAGACCUGCCUAGGCCCUGGAGUCCCUCUAGGAAACCGCUCCUGGGGGAGAAAGAGAGAGGCAGAGACACAGGAGGAGGGAGAAGCAGGCUCCAUGCCAGGAGCCCGACGCGGGACUCGAUCCCGGGACUCCAGGAUCGCGCCCUGGGCCAAAGGCAGGCGCUAAACCACUGAGCCACCCAAGGAUCUCCAUUUAUGAUCAGUUUAUUUCACAUCAUUGUUUCCUUUUUGCUGGCCUGCUCAGUACCGUUCCCACUUAUUAACCAGUCGGUUUUCCUGGGAACGGCGAGCUCUGGUGGAGGGUGGUCUUCACGGUGCCCACUGGGGAGGGGACGCCUCUGACAGCAGCGAUCCAGGAGACGGUGGCAGCUGCACUUAGUCUCAAUGGAGAUUAUGACCAUCUUAAUUUUUUUUUAAGAUUUUAUUUAUUUAUUCAUGAGAGACACAGAAAGAGAGGCAGAGACACAGGCAGAGGGAGAAGCAGGCUCCCUGCGGGGAGCCUGAUGCAGGACUCAAUCCUGGGACCCAGGGUCAUGCCCUGGGCUGAAGGUGGCGCUAAACUGCUGAGUGACCCAAGGAUCCCCUCAAGUGAGAUUGUCUUGGAUGAGAUUACUUGAUCAGGCAGUUACCCCCCCCCCUUUUUUUUUCAGGCGGGCCUUUAAUGAAUAAGUCUCAGGGC